GAGGUUGGGUGAGAAAGCGACGUGUUUCAUCAUUAUCAAGCAGAUACAAUACCGCAAGGCUUAAGAGGUGAGGGUGAGAAAAAAAUCGUCUAAAAGGGAGAGAAAAGGUCAGAGACAUCAGUUGACUGAGCAUCACCGACACGGCAACAACUCCAGUGGACUACCUGUACCAACUGCCUUCUUCAUCGCAUUACCAGUUCACAACAAUGGUGCACAGGCAUGGUCAACUAUAUAAUGUCGUGCUGCUGUCGGAUGUUGUAUCGUUGCUGGCUGGGUCGACCACUAGUGUACCAAUGUCCUUUCGGUACGGAAACCAAACCGUAAUGCCGACGCCCUACUACACAACAACAUACGUUUUAGCCGGUUAUUACGCCAUCAAGGUUCCAGGCUGUAGACGUUGGCCAGGAGGACGGUGUUGGUGGAUGAGAUCAGUUGAGCAUCUCCAACCCGGCAACAAUUGCACUCUUCCAAUUCUCAAUGAAAGCUAACUAUGGCUUCGUGCUGCUGUUGAGUGUUGUAUCGUUGAUGGCUGAGUCGACCACUGGUGUAUCGAUGUUCCCUGUGUAUGGCGGAUAGCAAACCGCAACGCCACCGUCUUCCUACACAACAUACGCAGCAAUGACUAGUUACUACUCCGGGAUUCUCUAUUACUACACCGAAAAGGACAAAAAUUACACAUCCACGUAGGCUACCCCAGUUUACUACACCGAGGAAUUCAGGUGUUACUGUGCUCCGAGAAACGACAGAGGUUGCUUUUACUACACCUCCAACGCCUCCAAGUGAAACUACAACCUACGAUGCCCACAACUUCACUGAAGCUCCGAAGUACUACACCAUCAAGGCACAACCAAUUCGCAAUCAAGGCAAACUAUGGCGUUGUCCUGAUGUGUGGUGUUGAAUCGUUGAUGGCUUGUUCCGGAAAUUGGUGUACCGAUGUUUCCUGGGUAUGGCGGAUAUGAAUUAGCUCAGCUUACUACACCAAGGCUCCAAAGCUCUACACCACCAAUGCUUCAGAGGAUUACCAGCUGUGCUGCACCGAGGCUUCAACUUAUUACACCACUGCAGUGCUCGAAUUCUUCACUGAAGCGUCCAAGUACCACACUGCAACGUACGCUACCCCAGCUUACUACUAUUGGUCACCAACUUUAAUUUUCAUCGUAUGAAAUGAGUCCGCAAUCAUGAGUAAAUAUGAAUAAAUUUUUAUUUUAAAUCGCGAUUUAAUUCUAUUUCUGUUAAUUGUGAUUUAUUAUGUGCUGCAAUUUAUUUCUUUCUAUCUGCCUUCAAU